rnacentral:rRNA from 1 species
AGAGUUUGAUCCUGGCUCAGAAUCAACGCUGGCGGCGCGCCUAACACAUGCAAGUCGAACGAGAAAGCAGGAGCAAUCCUGUGAGUAAAGUGGCGUACGGGUGAGUAACACGUGGAUUAUCUACCUCUUUGUGGGGGAUAACCCUGGGAAACCGGGGCUAAUACCGCAUAAGUUCGAGAGAAGAAAAGCAGCAAUGCGCAGAGAGAGGAGUCCGCGGCCGAUUAGCUAGUUGGUAGGGUAAAAGCCUACCAAGGCUACGAUCGGUAGCCGGCCUGAGAGGGCACACGGCCACACUGGCACUGAAACACGGGCCAGACUCCUACGGGAGGCAGCAGUGGGGAAUCUUGCACAAUGGGGGCAACCCUGAUGCAGCGACGCCGCGUGAGCGAUGAAGCCCUUCGGGGUGUAAAGCUCUUUCGGCAGGGACGAUUAUGACG